UAUUAGAAUUGGUGAAUUAGGCCUGUAUCCCAUGCCACAAACCCUGAAGUGAGUCCAGAGAAGAGCAACAAAGCUGGUGAGGAGGCAAGAGAGCAAGUCUUGUGGCCUCAGGCCUGUUAGGCAAGAUAAUGGAAGUAGGUAAUGCCACGUGGUGGCUGUGGACAGACACUUGAGUUUUCAGGUCUCCAUUGUUGCAAUUGGAAGAGUAGAGAAUGUUGUCUUCACUUUAAAUGAAUUUUUUUUUAAUCAUUUGUCUGUGAGAGAAGUAUUUUUUC